rnacentral:rRNA from 1 species
AAUCAACGCUGGCGGCGUGCCUAACACAUGCAAGUCGCGCGCGGAAAGGGGGGCAACCCCCGAGUAAAGCGGCGAACGGGUGAGUAACACGUGGGUAAUCUACCUUCGAGUGGGGAACAACAUCGGGAAACUGGUGCUAAUUCCGCAUGACCAUCGUCGGGGCUUCGGUUCUGACGAUCAAAGCUGGGGGAUCGUAAGACCUAGCGCUUGAAGAUGAGCCCGCGUCCGAUCAGCUAGNGGGCGGGGGUAAUGGCCCACCAAGGCUCCGAUCGGUAGCCGGCCUG